CUGAUGCCCAACUAGACGACCUCACCAUCUGCUCGAGUUCUGCUGUGAUGGGAACAAAAGAAACUCGCUGUGGGAAACUACGAAGCAAGGGAUAGCUUUGAAGUGACAGUGCUUCAUAACAUUCUGUUUCAUCUCUUAAAGCUGCCUGCUUCCACCUGAGCUGAUGCAUUGAGACUGAAGGACCUUGCAAGGCACAAGUGGGAUCAUUCUUGUGCUUGAGACAGACAUGAUAGGAUGAAUGCAGCUUUUCUCCUAUUUGUUGAUAUUGUACUGGCAUGUUAGGUUGCACUGUUGAGUGGUAAAGGGUCACAGACUUCGGUGGAGAAAUCAGAUGAAGUCAGAACAUCCUGACAUGUGUGAGAACAUAAAUCUGAUAGACCAUUUCA